rnacentral:lncRNA from 1 species
CCCCGACCGACAACAGGUUUCCAACGAAUACACCGCAGUCGUACCGUCCAGACGAUUUUCGUCAUUUCGUGCCCGUCACUCACGACUCGCUCACUCACUCACUCGGCACUCACCAUUUCAACUUCGACUCUUGUCCGUAUUUGACCGGCUGAAAUAUAAUUCACACAUGGCCUCCGGAUGCGUCUCCGCAAACGACAAGUGAGAACGAAUUGGUUUUAUUCAUUUUUAACGAUUUAUUAUUUAUUAUAAUUUUUGAUUAUCCUAUAAUUUAAUAUGUUUUCGAUUUGUGUUGUUGCGCCGCGUGCGGAACCUCGUGAUAUUUUUUUGGCAGAAGCCGGAAAUUUUGUGUUUUUUUUUUUUUUUAUAUUAACUUUGGACUUUCGAAGCGGAUGCACUAUUUUUUGAAAAUGGUCUCUCUUUGUUAUUUUUACUUGCGUAAUUUUUAUUAUAUUGUAGUAUUAUAUAUUAUUAAAUACACGUAAAAUGCAAUAGAUUGCAAGAUCUUAACAAUUUUUUUGAAAAUUUAAAUUCCUAACAAAUAAUUGAUAAAAUAUUCAAAUUUAAAACGAAAUAGUACUUGCAUGUUGUACUAAAUUUUUAUAAAAUUGCGGUUUUACACAAAUGAAUUGGGCAAAAGGUACACGAAUAGCGCGUCCUGUUUUGCGACGACGUGAUGACAAGUUUGUGUAGACUUGUCGGCUUACAGUGAUCUGAAACGCGAUUAAAAACUUAAUAAAUAAUAUUUUCUAGGAAUACCUACGACUGCCAAUAAAAUGGCUAGAAAUAUAUACAAAAAUAUUGUAAAAUUGUAUUUUCUACAAGCGCGCGCGCCCACUCGAAGGUUUAAUCGAUUUUCGACGCUGCACCAUUGCGGCCAAUGAACAGUCUCGGAUCAUCCCUUGGAUGAAUUCUAAAACGGCCAGAACUACGGGUUGUGCAGAAACACAACCCGUGUAUCGAUUUGUAGUUAAAAAUAACGUAAUUCGAUGCGAUCCCCAACCCGAAAAAAAAAACCGUUAUUUGUCAUCGCCGUUUGAAAAUCCUGAAUAUAAUAUUAUACAUGGGCGCGUUUCGUUCCUUAAAAGCACAUGGUACGGAUUCGUGACCAGACCUAGCAUUACACGGUAACCUUCAGAAAAAAACGCAAAGUGCAUUGAAAUCCUAACCCUAUUGAUAACCAUUAUCGCUGUUAACUAUUGUGAAGUGUUUCCCGAAGUUGAUAUUUUAUUUUACCCUGUACACUUGAAUUAUGGCACCUAUUUUUCCACUGUUUUUAUUAUUAUUAGAUUUAUCCACAACUAUUCCUGUAUGAAUUAUACUUGUGAUUUUAACUUUUUUGUGACGGAUUUUUGUUUCAGCUCCAAGAAGAAUACAGAAACAAAAUAUAUGUGACCCCUCGGUUGCGGAAAACGUUUUAUUGAUCUUGAGUUUUAUACGCGUCAACUAAAGCCUUUAAUUAUUGCAGUCUAAUCGUCUACUUAAUCGCCUACUUUAAAAUAUAAACAAUCAAACAAUAAUUCCUCUUUCUAUUAGCCUAUAAAAAUAUAUUAUUUGAAUGCCUAGUUUUUAUAUAUAAAUAAAUAUAUAUGUGUGCGAUUUUGUUGAAUAAGGGACUUAUUCACCAGCAUUGCACAAAGACAAAUCACUACUCAAAAACUAGGCAUUCAAAUUAAUAAUAAAUGUUUUGAUAAUAUAAAGAGGAAACUUUGUUCGAAAGUUUUUCAUUUUCCUGUAGGCGAUUACGUAGGCUUUGAGACUGCACUUUGCUGGUAAAUUGCUAAAGGUUACUCCAACUGCAGAUAAUCCAAAUACGAUGUCUAGUAUUAAGGAAAAUAAUGGGCCCAUUUAUGUUUUCAAAUUUGCAGAGUAUGUGUUUUAAUUUCUCUAAUUAUACACAUAAUAUUCAUUGUUCUAAUCAAUUAUUAUUCAAUGUUUUUAGAUGUCUCAACAAACAACCUAUUGCAGAGUUGAAGUGAACAAGAUAGGAUCAUGUGUUGAAAUUCGCUUUUCAAAUCUGAUGUUUACCCUAUGGAAUACCUUGGUAUUUGAUAUUGGAGUUCCUGAACUAUAAUUUUGUAUACUCAUCAAACACAAUGGCAGUACAUCAGUUUGAUUCAAAUAACUAUACCACUGGCUUUUGGUAUAAUAACCUGAUCAAACUGACAAUAACUUCUAAGGGAUGUGGCUGGCGAUGUAUUUAUUGUAAAAGAAAGUAUAUACUAUAAAACUUUGUGAUUGAACUAUCCAAACAUGUUAAAAUAAAACCAAAACUACACUUGUAAAAUUAUUUUUAUGCCUCAUAAUGAAUUUGUAUUGUUUUAUGUGC